rnacentral:lncRNA from 1 species
ACUGAGUCUAGAUUUGGGCACCUGGAUGCUUUGUUCUGCGGCACAGAGCCAGGAAGGAUCUGGAUUCUUGAUUGAUGUCACACAGCCAGUCUGAGGAGAAGGGAACAGCGUCAUGGGAAACUUCCCCUGGGGUCUUCAUGGUCUACAGCAAAAGCCAGAGCUACAGCAAGGCCACGGAGGAGAGCCAGUACCCCCUGUCCCCAGAUGCAUAGCAACGAUAUGAGUGUCCAGCGGGAGGAAGUGCAAAAUGGAGAGAAGAACUAGGCAGGUGAGAAAAAGUAAAAACGGAGAAACUUAGGCCUAGCAUGUAUCCGGAGGGGUGACUCCUUAUACCUGAAAAUCAGAAAGCAUUUCAGGGGAGAGUGAUUCUCAAAAGGGUGCCCUACCAGCUCCUGGCCCCCACAAGGUCCCCAUUAAGAGCCCAGUUAGAAGCCUGUUCCAUCAAGCCCUUCCUGCCUGCUAGACUACUCAGAGUGCUCACAUUCCUCUUGGCAGAUUCCACAGAGAGAAUAUAAGAGUUCAAGUUAGAGGUCCUGACGCCUGGCUCCCUGAUCUGGCCCUGUGGCCUCCUGAAUCCUCAGUUCUGGCCUCUGAUGGGUGGAGCUAACAAUUACACGUCUGGCAAGGCUCUCCAAAGGAGUGAAUGCCACGGUGCACGUGGGAGCACUUGGCACAUCAAGAAGCUGUGUGUCCAACUUGUUGACUGUUGUUGUGACUCAGGCAGAGAGGAGUGGACAGGCCAAGGGAGCAAGGAGAUGUCGCAGGCAAAGGUUCAUGUGAGGAGACUGGACUCACUAAUGCUAUUACACCCAAAUUUUCCGCUCUAAACAACACGCUUCAGCUGUGAGUUCCCAUGGCGGAAAGUUUCUGUGAAAUGAUCCGUGAUAAAAAUGGGUUUGGGAAUGAUCCACCUGGAUGUGGAGGACCUUGCCUGGCUUGGAGCAUUCCCCUACAGAAGAUCAGAACUGUGUCAUGACCUGAGGAGACAUGGUACGGCAGUUGUAUCCGUGGAAUUUCACUGCCAACCCUCUCUGGGUAAUAAACGACCACCUUAACUCUUGCACAGACCCGUGCAUCGAAGAGACCCUUAAAUAACCCUUGAGGCCCUAAUAACGUUCAUGGCACCAGGAAUAUAGAGCUGCUGCUGACCCAG